AAAAAAACUGGCAAUCGUAAAGGAGGUUGGCGAAUUUGGAUCCAGCAUUUUUAAAAACCGUUCAGAUUCAGAAAUCAUUUAAUUUUAAUAAUAUUUUUAGAGUAUUUUUCUGUGUAAGCUUGAUACUUUUAGAAGAUGGGGAUCAAAAAUAUAAUUAUUCACAAGCACACAUUACAAAUAACCGUUACAUGGCAAUUCAAGUGAAUAUAUUUUUUCUCCCAACUUUAUUUGAUAGACUUUGAUGAAGUUUUUUGUUAGACUGGUUUACUAUAACAAGCAUGAGAAGUUUGAUUCGUGAACGUGGGCUUGAGGCUCACGGUUCCGUUAGAUUGGGUCUGAAACUCUAUGGAAUUCGCCAAUCUCCUUUCAGAUCCGUCCAGUAGUUUUUGCGUGAUUGAGU